GAUGAACGCUGGCGGCGUGCCUAAUACAUGCAAGUCGAGCGGAGAGUCGCGGAGCUUGCUCUUCAGACGUUUGGGGCGGACGGGUGACUAACUCGUGGCUAACCUACCUCAGAUAAUGGUCAAACUAGGGUCAAGCGGGGCCUAUCCCGGACAAUAUCAUACAGCGUUGGGUUCAUUGGUGAAAGUCAGUUUUUGUGUGUCAUAUAGGUGGAUCCGCACGUCAUUAGCUAGUUGGUAAGGUAAGGGGUUAUCAAGGGGACGGUGCGUAGCCGACCUGAGAGCGUGAUGGGCCACACGGGAACUGAGACACGGACCAGACUCCUACGGGAGGCAGCAGUAGGGAAUCUUCCGCAAUGGGCGAAAUCCUGACGGAGCAAGGCCGAGUGAGUGAUGAAGGUCUUCGGAUCGUAAAACUCUGUUAUGAGGGAAGAACAACUGUGUAAGUGAAUAUGCACGUCUUGACGGUACCUAAUCAGAAAGCCACGGCUAACUACGUG
rnacentral:rRNA from 1 species